rnacentral:tRNA from 1 species
GGCCCGUUAGUCUAAUGGCAGAACACCUCGUUUACACCGAGGAAACGAAGGUCCGAUUCCUUCACGGGCCA